GCGGUUUCUUAAGUCAACCGCAUGUGAAAAUACAUUUCUACAGGCGGUUUGUUAGGUCAACUACCUCUGGAAAUGAUUUCCACAGACGGUUGACUUAACACAUCGCGCGCCACGCCGUCAGGCUGCCUCAUUCCACCGCUGCCUCUCCCUCCGACCUCUGUUCCACCACCGACCCUCUAUCCAGCCUCUGUUCCUCCACCAUCCGCCACUGCCGGCGCCGGCGCAGAUGCCAUCUCGAAGUGCGAGCAUCGCGCCCUGUCCCUCCAUUCUACCGCCGCACCCUCUCCCUCCAUUCCGCCGUCGCUGCCACAGUCUCCUCCCCGGUGGCCACCACAGUUACACCAUCCCAGAGUGUCGCCACCCACAGGGGUUCGUCCCCUUCAGUCUCUCCGCCCGCUCGCCCUCUCUACAGUCUGCUCGCUGAUUCUCUAGUGAGCACCCGCCCUCUCUCUCUCAUCUCCUCUACGGUCCAUGUCAUGAAUGCUUGCUGUUGAUGUGAAGAUUUAUGUGGUGGAAUGCUUGCACACUACUCGUGUGGCUUAGGAUUCAUGCUCAGUAGGUGAAAUUUUGCACAUUAUAUAUGUAGAUCGAAUAUUGUUUGGAUGAGGCCUUUGAUUUGCUAUCAACUAGGCUUGAUUGGAAUGGAUAUUGUGGGCCUAAACUGUAUUAAAUCUGUAAAUGCGUUAUUGAUUUGGAUCUUUGGGGAUACUGGCACACACUGCCAAUCUGUUUGGGUGUGGACUGAGGAAAUUUCUGCAUUCAUGAUAUGGAAGUGGAUAACAGUGAAGCUAAAUGUUGACAUAAUAAUUGAAGCACUGUUAUGAAUCCAGAUGACUUAAGCCACACAUGUUGCUGCACAAGCAUUAGCAUUCAUCCACCACUCUGCAUUGCCAUUUGGCUACUUAUGUCUACUUGUGUGUUGGUCACGGUAGUUAAGUUUUCCUAGCACACUGAUCACACAAUGUUGAUGUAUGCUUUGAUUUUUUUUUAUUUGGUGCACAUAUAGGUCAGCUUUAGUCACUAGAGCAUUAUUUCUGUUGUUCUAAUGUGUUGCCACCUAUUGUGUUAAUUGUAUAGCACCAGCACCAUACAGAAAUGUCCUUUACUAGCAGUGCUAAAAAUAACAUGACCAAAUUCAAGUCCUUGAACUUUUGACAGGUUAACAAUGUGAGAACAUCAUCUUUAACACUGCUUGUUUAUAAGCUAUGUUGAUUUCAGUAAUUGAUGUAACACUUUUGGAGUAGAAACAUGAUCAGUUUUGUUCAGUGAGAAAAAUUGUACAAUUAUGUUGACAAGUAAAAAAAGGAUCCCAGCAUGGACUUUAGUGUCUUGACACCCAAAGAAAAGUACCAUACCAAAAACAAAAGUGCAAAACUAGAGUAAGUAUCAUGAGGAAACAAUAAUCUAGUGGUCGAGUAAGUACCAUGAGGCAAAAGAGGACAAUAACCCUAAGAAAUCAUAAGCAAGCAGGAGGUCUGAUACGAGCCUAAGCCCCCCUAAGAAACCAGAAGCACAAAGGAUGCUCGCAAUAGAGGCCUCCUCGGUAUAGAGUACACUCGCAAUAGAGGGCGCCCAGCACAGAGGACACUCGCAAUAGAGGGCGCCCCGGCACAGAGGGCGCUCACAAUAGAGGGUGCCUUGCAUGGAGGAUUCUCGCAAUAGAGGGCACCCUGACACAAGAUGGGGCAGAUGCAAGCAAGAGGUCGGAUAGGAGCCCAAGUCCGCACCAACCAUCCUCCUCCGACAGCAGCGAAAGCUCAAGCUUGUAUCACAGCCUGAGCCAUGUUCCAUACGAGAAGGAGAGCUGACAUUGGGAAAGUGACAACGACUAAAAUCCCACCGAAGAGGUAUUUAGUUGAGUCAAUGCAUUUUAUACUUCUUAAAUGGAGGAAUGUUUUUUGUUUAUGUCAACUCUCCUUUUUUCUCUCUGAAGGGUGAGGGUGCAAAGAUCUUCACAUCGAUCAUCUGUGCCCCAACCUUUUGCACCACAACCUUCCACUCCCUCUAUACCCAAAACAUCGGGUCCCUCUGGGGGUACGCUAAAACGAAGACGGGGCGAGUGAAGCAGAAACAUGUUGUCGUCCGGCACUUAUACAAUAAUGCAAGUCGGUGUUAAAGGGGAGCUCAUUGCACCUCAUGAGGUCUACGCCAAAUUCCACAACAGUUGUAGAUUUUUUAUCAAGGAGUACGUCCCAAUCACUAUAAUUGAUUAGUGGUUGCUGCCGGAUGAGACAAAGGAGUUCAUGUGGGCAACAUUGCAGAGAACCAUCCGAUUCCACUCGGGAACAGAUGAAGCCGCCAAAUAGAAUACAUUAAAAAAUAUGUGAAAGAGCUUUCAGGGCUAGAAGAGUGAGCUAAAUAAGGACUUCGUGCACAAGAACUUGGAACCCUUUAAUAAAUAUAGAAAGAUUACGCCAGACUAAUGGACGGAGUUUGUCCGGCAGAAGACCACACCUGAGGCCAUCAAACUGGGUUAAUCGUUCAAGCACCUUGAGAAGAAGAACAAUUACCACCAUCACCUAGGCUCGUCUGGGUACGCCUCCAAAAUUUUUGAAUGGAGGUGGCAAGAAGAAGAAGUUGCCCGGGCUGGGAAACUCAACCCAUUGGAAAAUUAUGAUGAGCGAAGCAGAAACUGGGUGUACGCUCAGUCAGAACGAACUGAGUAUGGGGACUUAUCCUUCAAAAGCCCCCAGACCAUGGAAGUGACCCAGACCAUUCAAGAGAUUGCUAAUGAAGCGUCUCUAGAGCCCGACAGGGAGAAUGACCUACUUACCAAUGCCUUGGGGAACAAGAAACACCCGGGUCGCACUCAAGGCAUCGGAUCAAAAGUGGGCUGGAAGCAUGGAUUCCCAGACACCAGAUGCCAGUAUAAGACCCAUAGUAGAUAUAAGAAGACCCUAUCGGAAGAGAUACAAGAACAUGUUAAGGUGUAGUUCAUAAAAGUGUAGAAUGAAAAGAAGAAGGAAAGGGCGGCAUUAAUGAUGAUAGAGCAACCAACUGGCUCAGGAUUUCAGAGCAGCGUCGGAUCCAUGCAGCCUGAUAACUAGAGAUAUCCUAUGGAUGAUAUCACAGAAGCUACCCCUUGCAUUCUACAUGUUCUGGUCGACAAGGGAUACUUCACUAUCGAGGUUGCCACAGGCCAGGCAAUUCCAGGCUGUGUGUUUCAUAAUUAAGACAUUCCAGCCGGUUAUGCCAGGGUACAAGUGGACUCAAUAAAACCACUUUUCAUGAAGUACAAGAUUCGCGAUGAGGCUGUUGGCAACUUCAUUUUUUGGCCCAAACGGUUGAGAUUCUUGAUGAGGCCAUUGGCAACUUCAUUCUGUGGCCCAGACAAGUUACCAUUUUUAGCCAUCAGUAGUCACAAUCGUCAGCGUCACGACCACCGCCGCACCCAACAUAUCUGCCUCAGGCACCUCCAUCCCAGCGCCGAGCCUCUCCACCUCAGGCACAUUUGCCCCCAUGCCCAAUAUCUCCGCCUCAGGAAUCUUCACAUCGUGCUUCACCAUCUGAGACUCUGGCAUCUCCAUCUCCAGCAUCUGUGACUCCAGCAUCUUCACCUCCAGCGUCAGCGCCUCUGCCACCUUCACCUGAGCAUCGGAGAGUCCAUGUCAUGGUUACCCCAUACGAAAAGACUCUAACAUCUUCAGUGAAGAGUGGCUUCUAUCCUCAAAAGCAAAAGUAUCAUCCCCUCAGGAAUCUCCAGCGAAGGGCGAUCUCGCGAAAGAGACCGGUAAAAUAUUAAGUACCCCUCAGUUGGAUUUCUUGCCUACACAAAUGUUCCUGCGAAAUAUGAGAAUGGCGAGCCAUUUUUGCCAUUGUUUCAACUCCAAGAAGGUCCAUAGGAGAUGAGGAGAUUCCACAAAUGGUACAUGAGGGCAUGUCACCCGGGGUUCUCUAGAAUCACUAUUGCUGUCCCCGUAAACAUUUUUCUAAGCAAACACUCCUAUCUCAUGGUGGAUUUUAAGGACAUGCAUACUUUGUUCCGCCGCGACAAACUCAACAUCAAUCUCAUAAGCGUAUGGUGUUUGAUGCAAUUUAACGAUGCGGAAAAGUUGAAGUACCGGUUGGAUUCAUUAAUCCAAAAUGAAUUUCCCAGCCCAACUUGAUCAUGAUUGAGGACUAAUGACCCUCAAAUUAAGGAGAAGAGUAACAAGGAGAAAGCAAAGGUCAUAACAGAAAUGACCAAAUCACGAAAACUUGAAAUGUCAACCUACAUAGGAAGGGCUAUGCUAGAAAUGCAAUACAAGGACUACAUCAUGUCUCCAUACAACUUUAAUUGAAGUCGAGCAGACUUGUGGUCCUUGACUCAGCCAAUGACCCCCAGAAAUCCUACCAAGAUCUCAUCAACGUUAUACAGAGGGCCUACAAGUAGUAUGUAACGAAAGGUGGGAUACACGAUACAGCCAAGCCGAAUGCGAUGACAGUCGUGCCACAAGCAAGAUUUCGAUAUCGUUCUUUGUGGAUACUAUGUUUGCUAGUUUCUUAGGGUAAACGGGAGGUACACAACUAACCAUUAGGACGCACAGAUAAUCGAACGUACCCACACCUCUCUCAAAGACAAAGAUAUGCAAAACAUCCAAUGUGACAUGUGCCAGUUCAUCAUGUAUGAAUUCAUCCACAAGAGUGGCAGAUUCUUCGGUCUCGGAGGCGAAUUGCAUAGCCAUCCGAGGCUUUGUGAGUGGGAGAAGAAAGACUUUUAGCAAUGUUAGCUUAUAAUGUAAAUUGUCAUAUUAUAUG